CUGGCGGCAGGCCUAACACAUGCAAGUCGAGCGGAUGAAGAGAGCUUGCUCUCUGAUUCAGCGGCGGACGGGUGAGUAAUGCCUAGGAAUCUGCCUGGUAGUGGGGGACAACGUCUCGAAAGGGACGCUAAUACCGCAUACGUCCUACGGGAGAAAGCAGGGGACCUUCGGGCCUUGCGCUAUCAGAUGAGCCUAGGUCGGAUUAGCUAGUUGGUGAGGUAAUGGCUCACCAAGGCGACGAUCCGUAACUGGUCUGAGAGGAUGAUCAGUCACACUGGAACUGAGACACGGUCCAGACUCCUACGGGAGGCAGCAGUGGGGAAUAUUGGACAAUGGGCGAAAGCCUGAUCCAGCCAUGCCGCGUGUGUGAAGAAGGUCUUCGGAUUGUAAAGCACUUUAAGUUGGGAGGAAGGGCAGUAACUUAAUACGUUGCUGUUUUGACGUUACCGACAGAAUAAGCACCGGCUAACUCUGUGCCAGCAGCCGCGGUAAUACAGAGGGUGCAAGCGUUAAUCGGAAUUACUGGGCGUAAAGCGCGCGUAGGUGGUUUGUUAAGUUGGAUGUGAAAGCCCCGGGCUCAACAUGGGAACUG
rnacentral:rRNA from 1 species